CCUCAGCAGGGCGGAUGGGCACGUAGAAAAUGAGUCAGCAGCGCGCCCUUGUGGCCACGGCCGCUAACCGCAUGCACCGCUGCCUCGGGAGGGAUACAGCCAGCAGGCCGAGCAAAACCGUGAUUCCUCUUUCCGGUGGCGCACGUGAAACCGUAUUUGGCUCCAUCAGUUUGUUCAGGGGGCUGGAGCACAUGGUGAACUGAGGCUGAAAAGGGUUUGCUUAGCAGAAGGGACAGAUAUUGCUUUGACAAUCUGGAGGCUGAAUUACUAGAAAUGAAAACUACACCAACAAGCUAUGACAGAAGAUUAUAGGAAAAGUUGCAAACUGCUAAUGAGAAAAAAAAGUCAAUUAUACCAUAUAGGUGAUUGCAGUUGCUCAUCUUUAAGAAGUCUUCAAGAAUUUGUCACAAGUGACCAAAUAAGAGGUUUUUAACGGACUGGAUAUAUGUUCUUUAGCGUGUUUUUUAAAAGCAAGCCAGCAACUUUACCAACUUGAAAGACUUUCAAUGGACAUGAAUCCAGCCCGUUGGAGGUGAUUCAACUGAUGUCCUGAAACCAAAACAACCGCAGUCAGCCUCAAAUCCUGGAAAAAUCCUGAAUUAUUUAGUAAUCUUCAGCAUCUAUUACAAGCAUAUUGGAGCUGUAGUAGGCAUGAACAUCUGAUCAGAAACCAUGAGACUGAAAGGUGAAUAAGCAAAUACCACCAAAAUGAAACUGACUAGAAAGUUUUUACCUUUUAUCCCUCUCUCUGUGGUCACUGGAGUUUAGAAAGGAUAUUUAAUAAGACACAUGUUCUUGAUAUAUUUUGCAAAUUACAUUCAGGUUUCCCAUCUGUGAUUUUCUAUGUGAUUAGUAUAUACCAAUGUGGGAAAUAACACUUUAAUGAUAAUAAUUUUAAAGGGUGAAAUAGUAAUGAUUUUUGGAUGCCCAGCUAUAGUACAGCUGGUUAAGAGAAAAGCAAUAGCAGCAGUGGUAUUCUAAAAGAAUAAACAUAUCUAAUGGUACAGGAGUGUCUGCUUAGGCUCUUGGAAGCUGUAGCUAGCAAGGACAGGAGUUUUGUUUCUUUUUCUUUUUUUUUUUUUUUCAAUUUCAAAAUGUACAAUCACAGUUAUAAUCCAUUCUAUGUAUAACAUCCUGAAAAUGAAAAUAAAUGAAGCUUUACUCCUAAACUACAUGUUCACA